AGAUCGAACUAUAGAGUUUGAUCCUGGCUCAGAUUGAACGCUAGCGGCAUGCUUUACACAUGCAAGUCGAACGGCAGCGCGGGGCAACCUGGCGGCGAGUGGCGAACGGGUGAGUAAUA
rnacentral:rRNA from 1 species